GACGCACUACCAACUGGGAAAAAAGUUGCUGUGAUUGGGUAUCGACUGGUGUAACAGAUAUGCACCAUCUGUCUGAGAAAAUCAAGAAGCAUGAGAUGUCAAAGAUGGGACACUCUCUGUCUCUGUCUCUCUCUCUCUCUGUCCCCCACCCCCUCUCUCUGUCUCUGUCUCUGUCUACUCUCUGUCUCUGUCUCUCUCUCUCUCUGUCAAACACCCCCUCUCUCUGUCUCUGUCUCUCUCUCUCUCUCUGUCAAACACCCCCUCUCUCUGUCUCUGUCUCUGUCUACUCUCUGUCUCUGUCUCUCUCUCUCUCUGUCAAACACCCCCUCUCUCUGUCUCUGUCUCUGUCUCUGUCUCUCUCUCUCUCUCUCUCUCUGUCAAACACCCCCUCUCUCUGUCUCUGUCUCUGUCUACUCUCUGUCUCUGUCUCUCUCUCUCUGUCAAACACCCCCUCUCUCUGUCUCUGUCUCUGUCUACUCUCUGUCUCUGUCUCUCUCUCUCUCUGUCAAACACCCCCUCUCUCUGUCUCUGUCUCUGUCUACUCUCUGUCUCUGUCUCUCUCUCUCUCUGUCAAACACCCCCUCUCUCUGUCUCUGUCUACUCUCUGUCUCUGUCUCUCUCUCUCUCUGUCCCCCACCCCCUCUCUCUGUCUCUGUUCGUCUCUGUCUACUCUCUGUCUCUGUCUCUCUCUCUCUCUGUCAAACACCCCCCCUUCCCGUGAGGAUGGACACUGGGUUCCAGCGGCCCUCACAACCCCCCCCAACCCCUCUGAACAUGAGGAUGGACACUGGGUUACGGUGGCCCUCACAACCCCACACCAACACCCCACCCCUUUCAAGUGUAUAUUGUAUAUAGUUCUCUGCAAACCUAUGGUGGCAUCAUGCCUCCAACUGGUCCAGAAUUCAGCUGCCCGCAUUAUAACUCGAACCCCAUCCAUCCACCACAUCACCCCUGUCCUCCAGCAGCUCCACUGGCUCCCGGUUCAGUUCCGUCUCAAAUUCAAAGUCCUCCUGUUAACAUUUAAGGCCACCCACAACCUUGCUCCCCCAUAUCGGUCCGCCCUCAUCCACGUACCCACUCCCGCCC
rnacentral:lncRNA from 1 species